AGAACGAACGCUGGCGGCAGGCCUAACACAUGCAAGCCGAGCGCUGUAGCAAUACAGAGCGGCGCAUGGGUGAGUAACACGUGGGAACGUGCCCUUUGGUUCGGAAUAACUCAGGGAAACUUGAGCUAAUACCGGAUGAGCCCUAACGGGGAAAGAUUUAUCGCCGAGGGAGCGGCCCGCGUUGGAUUAGCUAGUUGGUGGGGUAAAAGCCUACCAAGGCGACGAUCCAUAGCUGGUUUGAGAGAACGACCAGCCACACUGGGACUGAGACACGGCCCAGACUCCUACGGGAGGCAGCAGUGGGAAUCUUGGACAAUGGGGGAAACCCUGAUCCAGCCAUGCCGCGUGAGUGAUGAAGGCCCUAGGGUUAGUAAAACUCGUUUCGGCGGGACGAUAAUGACCGGUACCGCAGAAGAAGCUCCGGCUAACUUCGU
rnacentral:rRNA from 1 species